rnacentral:rRNA from 1 species
GCUUGUCUCAAAGAUUAAGCCAUGCAUGUCUAAGUAUAAACAAAUUUGUACUGUGAAACUGCGAAUGGCUCAUUAAAUCAGUUAAAGUUUAUUUGAUAGUACCUUACUACUUGGAUAACCGUAGUAAUUCUAGAGCUAAUACAUGCGAAAAGACCCGACUUUUUGGAAGGGUUGUAUUUAUUAGAUAAGAAACCUUCCCCUUUGGGUUGCGUGCCGAGUCACAAUAACUGCUCGAAUCGCAUGGCUUCACGCCGGCGAUGGUUCAUUCAAAUUUCUGCCCUAUCAGCUUUCGAUGGUAGGAUCGAGGCCUACCAUGGCGUUUACGGGUAACGGAGAAUUAGGGUUCGAUUCCGGAGAGGGAGCCUGAGAGAUGGCUACCACAUCCAAGGAAGGCAGCAGG